rnacentral:misc_RNA from 1 species
AGAACGCCCGGGCUUCGGCCUGGUUAUUCAUAACCCUUUGUUGUCCGACUCUGUUGCCUCCGGGGCGACCCUGCCUUCGGGCGGGGGCUCCGGGUGGACACUUCAAACUCUUGCGUAACUUUGCAGUCUGAGUAAACUUAAUUAAUAAAUUAAAACUUUUAACAACGGAUCUCUUGGUUCU